AUCGAAGAAAUUGACUCAAAAUCGACUUAUUAAAAAGGGAGAAAGAAACACAAGUUCAUUAUAAGCUUAGUCCAUAAUUUCAGUGCAACAAAACACCUUUCCACCUUGCAAACCACCACAAUCUUCCAUGGAUCCUCUCACACUCCUUCGCGAAUACACAAUCCGCAACGAACUCCACAAAAUCAGCCGCAUAGGCGACGACUACCGUUUCAGCAACGACUACACUUUCCCUUGUACAAUCGAAACCGCAUAUCGUUCCAAACACGUGGCAGCCAAUCGCUACACUCUCGAAACCCUAAUCAAUUUCAUCACUAAUCACCACCUUAAACACACCGAGUACAUCCAACAGUCUCGUUCCUUACGUAUUACCCCCGUCACCUUACCCGACCGUAAACCCCUCUUAGAUUACCUCACCGGCAAAACAGCAUCCUCCGACUCCAUCGAAUUCCUCAAAUUCAGCCACGACACGUCAGCAAACGACACGCCAGCAAAUGACACGUCAUCAAAUGUGAUUGGGUUGGGUGCUGUUAAUAAUCAGAGUCCUAUUGAGUUGAUUAGGUCCGUGGAGAAGCCAUUGAAGGAUAGGGAGGCGAUUUUGUAUUGUAAAAACAGGGAUUUUUAUAGUGUUUUUACGGCGGCUUUGAGGAGAGAUGAGGAGCGACAAAAGGUUGAAUCUUUACAGAGGAAAGACGGGUUGGUUGCGAAAAAUCGGAUUGAUAGAGGGUUUGGUGGGGGUGGUGGUGAUGAAGUGGUUGGGAAAAUGCAUUUGAAAGGGAGUAAGAUAGGGGAAGGGGUACCCAUUAUAUUGGUUCCGAGCGCGUUUUCGACCUUGAUUACUAUUUAUAAUGUGAAGGAGUUUUUGGAGGAUGGGGUGUUUAUACCUACUGAUGAGAAGUUGAAGCAAAUGAAAGGGUCGAAACCGGAUUGUAUAACGGUGCAGAAGAAGUUUAGUAGGGAUAGGGUGGUUACGGCGUAUGAGGUGAGGGAUAAGCCGUCUGCGUUGAAGGCGGAGGAUUGGGAUCGUGUGGUGGCGGUUUUCGUGUUGGGGAAAGAAUGGCAGUUUAAAGAUUGGCCUUUUAAGGAUCAUGUUGAGAUCUUUAAUAGGAUUGUAGGAUUUUUCUUGCGUUUUGAGGAUGACAGCGUGGAGUCUGCAAAGACUGUGAAGCAAUGGAAUGUGAAGAUUAUUUCGAUUAGUAAGAACAAACGCCACCAGGACAGAGCUGCAGCACUUGAGGUGUGGGACAAACUUGAAGAAUUUAUGCGGUCCCGGUCACAUUGACGCAUGUUGUGUCUCUAGGUAGACAACUUGCUAAAGUUGCAUUUCCCUUUGCGACCGUCUUUCAGUGUCAUGUUGGUGCUUGUCCUUGUGCCGAGGGUCAACCAGAAACAACCUCUCUACUUUCCAAGGUGGGUGUAGGAUCUGCGUACCCUCUACCCUUCCCAGAGCCCACUUUGUGGGAUUUCACUGGUACAACAUGUUCGUGGUCAAGUAUAUUUUGUAGCAUUUGAAUGCUUCAAAUAACAUGAUAUCUUGCUCAGUGAUGCACCAGCGGUUGGCAGGUGGAGUCUGAACUUUGCAAGCAGUAGUGAGGGUCGAAGCCUGAGUCUGGUUAAUGUUGAGUCCAAGAUUGGAGCCACCCCCAUUGAGGACCUGGCACAAGCACUCUGGCUUUUUAUCAACCACCGUGCUAAGCUGCGUGCAGCAACCUGAAAAUUCUGGCGAGGAGUUGUCCGUGAUGUAGUUCAUGCAAGGCAACAUGCUGAUCAACACGUUCGUGCAGUCAUCACUUUCUUGAGCAAUUACUCUUGCCCAGAUCAUCGCGAACACGAUCAAGAGAACACUAAUUUUAUUCCUUUGAUUGGCCAUCCUUUUGUAAAAAUCCCAGUGAAUUGAGGAGAGAAGUGUUUCUGAAUUUAAGAAAGUUGGUCACGUUAAUAA